rnacentral:rRNA from 2 species
GGGUUGUGAGGUUAAGCGACUAAGCGUACACGGUGGAUGCCCUGGCAGUCAGAGGCGAUGAAGGACGUGCUAAUCUGCGAAAAGCGUCGGUAAGGUGAUAUGAACCGUUAUAACCGGCGAUGUCCGAAUGGGGAAACCCAGUGCAAUUCGUUGCACUAUCGUUAACUGAAUACAUAGGUUAACGAGGCGAACCGGGGGAACUGAAACAUCUAAGUACCCCGAGGAAAAGAAAUCAACCGAGAUUCCCCCAGUAGCGGCGAGCGAACGGGGAGCAGCCCAGAGUCUGAAUCAGCUUGUGUGUUAGUGGAACGGUCUGGAAAGUCCGACGGUACAGGGUGAUAGUCCCGUACACCAAAAUGCACAGGUUGUGAACUCGAAGAGUAGGGCGGGACACGUGGUAUCCUGUCUGAAUAUGGGGGGACCAUCCUCCAAGGCUAAAUACUCCUGACUGACCGAUAGUGAACCAGUACCGUGAGGGAAAGGCGAAAAGAACCCCGGCGAGGGGAGUGAAAAAGAACCUGAAACCGUGUACGUACAAGCAGUGGGAGCACCUUCGGGUGUGACUGCGUACCUUUUGUAUAAUGGGUCAGCGACUUAUAUUCUGUAGCAAGGUUAACCGUAUAGGGGAGCCGCAGGGAAACCGAGUCUUAACUGGGCGUUAAGUUGCAGGGUAUAGACCCGAAACCCGGUGAUCUAGCCAUGGGCAGGUUGAAGGUUGGGUAACACUAACUGGAGGACCGAACCGACUAAUGUUGAAAAAUUAGCGGAUGACUUGUGGCUGGGGGUGAAAGGCCAAUCAAACCGGGAGAUAGCUGGUUCUCCCCGAAAGCUAUUUAGGUAGCGCCUCGUGAAUUCAUCUUCGGGGGUAGAGCACUGUUUCGGCUAGGGGGUCAUCCCGACUUACCAACCCGAUGCAAACUACGAAUACCGAAGAAUGUUAUCACGGGAGACACACGGCGGGUGCUAACGUCCGUCGUGAAGAGGGAAACAACCCAGACCGCCAGCUAAGGUCCCAAAGUCAUGGUUAAGUGGGAAACGAUGUGGGAAGGCACAGACAGCCAGGAUGUUGGCUUAGAAGCAGCCAUCAUUUAAAGAAAGCGUAAUAGCUCACUGGUCGAGUCGGCCUGCGCGGAAGAUGUAACGGGGCUAAACCAUGCACCGAAGCUGCGGCAGCGACACUAUGUGUUGUUGGGUAGGGGAGCGUUCUGUAAGCCUGCGAAGGUGUGCUGUGAGGCAUGCUGGAGGUAUCAGAAGUGCGAAUGCUGACAUAAGUAACGAUAAAGCGGGUGAAAAGCCCGCUCGCCGGAAGACCAAGGGUUCCUGUCCAACGUUAAUCGGGGCAGGGUGAGUCGACCCCUAAGGCGAGGCCGAAAGGCGUAGUCGAUGGGAAACAGGUUAAUAUUCCUGUACUUGGUGUUACUGCGAAGGGGGGACGGAGAAGGCUAUGUUAGCCGGGCGACGGUUGUCCCGGUUUAAGCAUGUAGGCUGGUUAUCCAGGCAAAUCCGGAUAAUCAAGGCUGAGGUGUGAUGACGAGGCACUACGGUGCUGAAGUAACAAAUGCCCUGCUUCCAGGAAAAGCCUCUAAGCAUCAGGUAACAUCAAAUCGUACCCCAAACCGACACAGGUGGUCAGGUAGAGAAUACCAAGGCGCUUGAGAGAACUCGGGUGAAGGAACUAGGCAAAAUGGUGCCGUAACUUCGGGAGAAGGCACGCUGGUGUGUAGGUGAAGUCCCUGCGGAUGGAGCUGAGACCAGUCGAAGAUACCAGCUGGCUGCAACUGUUUAUUAAAAACACAGCACUGUGCAAACACGAAAGUGGACGUAUACGGUGUGACGCCUGCCCGGUGCCGGAAGGUUAAUUGAUGGGGUUAUCCGUAAGGAGAAGCUCUUGAUCGAAGCCCCGGUAAACGGCGGCCGUAACUAUAACGGUCCUAAGGUAGCGAAAUUCCUUGUCGGGUAAGUUCCGACCUGCACGAAUGGCGUAAUGAUGGCCAGGCUGUCUCCACCCGAGACUCAGUGAAAUUGAACUCGCUGUGAAGAUGCAGUGUACCCGCGGCAAGACGGAAAGACCCCGUGAACCUUUACUAUAGCUUGACACUGAACAUUGAGCCUUGAUGUGUAGGAUAGGUGGGAGGCUUUGAAGCGUGGACGCCAGUCUGCGUGGAGCCAACCUUGAAAUACCACCCUUUAAUGUUUGAUGUUCUAACGUUGGCCCCUGACCGGGGUUGCGGACAGUGUCUGGUGGGUAGUUUGACUGGGGCGGUCUCCUCCCAAAGCGUAACGGAGGAGCACGAAGGUUAGCUAAUCCUGGUCGGACAUCAGGAGGUUAGUGCAAUGGCAUAAGCUAGCUUGACUGCGAGCGUGACGGCGCGAGCAGGUGCGAAAGCAGGUCAUAGUGAUCCGGUGGUUCUGAAUGGAAGGGCCAUCGCUCAACGGAUAAAAGGUACUCCGGGGAUAACAGGCUGAUACCGCCCAAGAGUUCAUAUCGACGGCGGUGUUUGGCACCUCGAUGUCGGCUCAUCACAUCCUGGGGCUGAAGUAGGUCCCAAGGGUAUGGCUGUUCGCCAUUUAAAGUGGUACGCGAGCUGGGUUUAGAACGUCGUGAGACAGUUCGGUCCCUAUCUGCCGUGGGCGCUGGAGAAUUGAGGGGGGCUGCUCCUAGUACGAGAGGACCGGAGUGGACGCAUCACUGGUGUUCGGGUUGUCAUGCCAAUGGCACUGCCCGGUAGCUAAAUGCGGAAGAGAUAAGUGCUGAAAGCAUCUAAGCACGAAACUUGCCCCGAGAUGAGUUCUCCCUGAGACUUUAAGUCUCCUGAAGGAACGUUGAAGACGACGACGUUGAUAGGCCGGGUGUGUAAGCGCAGCGAUGCGUUGAGCUAACCGGUACUAAUGAACCGUGAGGCUUAACCUUACAACGCCGAAG